rnacentral:rRNA from 1 species
UUGGAGGGCAAGUCUGGUGCCAGCAGCCGCGGUAAUUCCAGCUCCAAUAGCGUAUAUUAAAGUUGUUGCAGUUAAAAAGCUCGUAGUUGAAUUUCGGGAUCAAUACGUCGGUCAUGCUUUUUGGUACGAACUGGCGUCAUUGGUUUCUCCUUUCUGACGAACCAUGAUGUCAUUAAUUUGGUGUUAUGGGGAGUUGGGACUGUUACUUUGAAAAAAUUAGAGUGUUUAAAGCAGGCAUAAGCUUGAAUACAUUAGCAUGGAAUAAUGAAAUAGGACGUUUGAUCCUAUUUUGUUGGUUUCUAGGAUCAACGUAAUGAUUAAUAGGGAUAGUUGGGGGCAUUAGUAUUCAAUUGUCAGAGGUGAAAUUCUUGGAUUUAUUGAAGACUAACUACUGCGAAAGCAUUUGCCAAGGAUGUUUUCAUUAAUCAAGAACGAAAGUUAGGGGAUCGAAGACGAUCAGAUACCGUCGUAGUCUUAACCAUAAACUAUGCCGACUAGGGAUCGGAUGAUGUUAAUUUUUUAAUGACUCAUUCGGCGCCUUACGGGAAAC